rnacentral:tRNA from 1 species
GGGCUGGGGCUCAGUGGCAGAGCACUUGUCUGGCACACGUGAGGCCCUGGGUUCGGUCCUCAGCACCACA